GGAGGAGGACGACGACGACGACGAGGAAGAAGAGAGAGUGGUUAGUGGAAGAGCAGUUAGCUAGGUGUCGACGGUCCAUUAGAGCGUCUCUCACACUUGCAAUCCAAUAGCGUUUUAAUGAUCCAGAGUGAAGAAUCGACAGCCCCGGUUUUACGAUAACCGGCGGAGGCUGCCUAUAAUCUAACGCCCAAUUCGAGUAAGGGUAAAUUGGAUAUUAUAAUUUUUUUUACUUUGGAAAAAAACAAAGUUACCAUAUAUACCCUCCAUUCAGAAGUCCUUAUUUGCUGGACCUGCCCAUCGUUCCAGUCCAAUCCAUUCCAAGCCAAUUUUGGGACGGAGCCGAAUGUUCGUGAUCGCGAAAGAGUAUGAACAGAAAUUGGAUUGACUUUAAGCGUUCCUUGCUGGUUUGAGUUCAAG
rnacentral:misc_RNA from 1 species